UAGAUGUCAUUCUAUGUCUGGGAUGAUCUCAGGACUAUGGUAUUGUCCUCUUGUGCUAUCAAUUUUAACUCACAAAUGGAUGUCGAUGUCAUUUAUUCUCUUAUUCUACAGACCUUCAUUGGCUACAUGGGUAGUAUGGGCAAGAGAUAGGUGGUCCUGACGGAGGAGUGGGAAGAGCCAGUGCUCUGGAGUGGGAUUACUUUCUGGCUGCCUGCUCAGGAAAGUUGUUUCACCAUUCUCAACCUCAGUUUCCACAUCUGUAAUAUAUGGAAAUUAAUUUCUACCUCAUAGGAUUGUUACCUAAGUGAGAAGAUGCGCUCCUGUUUUCAAGCCUGAAUGUUGCAUUUUCCAAGACCACUGUGGCCUGCCACACUCCCCAUCCUGUGUCCAUACAAACCUGAGACCUUAGAGGGCACACCCACAAGUGGCUGCACAUUGAGACCAGCAGACCAGCAGACCAGCAGACUAGAAGACCAGCAGACCAGCAGACCAGCAGACUAGCAGACCAGCAGACCAGUGAUGGUGGAACAAUGCAGCAGAAAAAGAGAGAAAAGGAGAGACGUCUGGACACCGAGGGGAGUUCAGCCUGAGGUGGUUGGAGAAGAGUCCGCUCACUGGGCCCAACUCCAGAGGAAACCACAUUCCCACUCCAUCCCCCUUUCUGGCUCCCCAUCCAUCUUGCUGAGAGCCACCUCCAUCAC
rnacentral:lncRNA from 1 species